UUCCUACGGGGGGCAGCAGUGGGGGAUAUUGCACAAUGGGGGGAACCCUGAUGCAGCGACGCCGCGUGGGUGAAGGAGUAUUUCGGUAUGUAAAGCCCUAUCGGCAGGGAAGAAGCAAGACGGUACCUGACUAAGAAGCCCCGGCUAACUACGUGCCAGCAGCCGCGGUAAUACGUAGGGGGCGAGCGUUAUCCGGAUUCACUGGGUGUAAAGGGAGCGUAGACGGCAGGGCAAGUCUGGAGUGAAAGCCCGGGGCCCAACCCCGGGACUGCUUUGGAAACUGCCAUGCUAGAGUGCUGGGGAGG
rnacentral:rRNA from 1 species